GCCUUGCUUAUUGUAAGGAAGAUUCGGACUUCAUAGAUUCCGACCACGACUUUGAGUCUGAACAAGACGACGUGCUAAGCUGUUGACAUUGGCAAACACAUAUCCCUCGGGGAAUACCCCACAUCCACAAUAAAUUACGUAUUUCUGACUUUGGUGAUUUUGUUUUUUAGGAAAUGAAAACUGAGCGGAACUUAUACUGUUAUUGACGUUUUGGAUGGCCAUUUUGCUGAUGAUGACAAAUCCCUGGAAAUGGCAUUUCUUCAUCUACAUCAGGAGUCUGACAAAGAAAAGUGUUGUAUAAAGGUCAUUUUGUGCCUAAAUCAGGUAUAUAACCUGUCAGAUUAUAUUUUCAUUGCUUUUAGUAGGUUGGUUUAUGUUGUACCUUAUUCCUUUUAAUUGAAAUAUUCAUGCUAUUAAAGUGACUGCUCGAGCUCUCGAGACCAAUGUGACUUCCACUGUCCAUUGGGUUAUUUACGAAAAGAAUUACUACAGCAAUUAGUACGUGGUUAGAAAGGAUGAUUUAAUCCAUUUUGUAGUAUGAGAUAUGGUUGUGGCUUUUGUAAUGAAACUAAAAAUCUUAUUUUUGUAAAUUGAAGUUUUAUUUUGUAAUGUCCAAAAUCAGCUUUUUUAGUUCCAUUGGCACUUCAUUGCAACUUCCAUCCUGGACUCCUCCUUGCCUAGCCCAAAAAAUAGAGUAAAUGGAAAAUUACUUAUUCUCUGAUAAUGAUUCUCAUCCCCGACUCUUGAGCUGUUGCUAAUAGUCUAUUAAUGCAAAAUAUAGGUUAAAGAUAACUAAAUUUCCGCCUUAGAACACCAAUGCUAGAGGUAGGAAUUUAAAAGGUGUCUUAUGUUGACAAAAAAAUCGAUAAGAAUAGAACAUAGACUAAACUCAGAAUUAGCAGAGCAAUAAAAAACAGAGUUGUGUGUAUUAAAUUGAGAGAGCUAAAUCCAUGGUGAGCAUAAUGACUCCACUAAAAAACAGAAAAUCAUUGCAAGAAUUUCUCAUACUAAUAUUAUAUAUCACAAGGUUAAAUUCUACAACUAGGAACUUUAUAAAAAAUGCUUACGACGAUGUAAUUAAAAAAGGACUUGAUGAAUACAACAUUGGGACAACUUGACGAAUACGAUAACAUUGUUUAAAUCAACAACAUAGGCGGUCAAAUUUCAUGGAGCUCUUCCCUUUUGUUUUUCGUUUUCUUCUACAUGAGGUUUACCCUUGCGGAUGGUAACUUUGAAUGAUAUUUUCACGUCCUCUUCUUCAAUUAUGUGAACCAAAUCCUUGAAUGCAAGGGACAAAUCCUUGUAUGCCCUGUCAAAAGCAAAUGACAAAGAGGAUUAAACUUAAUAUAUAUAAAAUUGUUUCUAGGGAUCUUUUGGGUAACCGGCUCCAAUUUAAGCUCAUUAGUUCCACCAUGAACUUAUGAUUAAAAUUGAAUUUUUCAGUGCUUCUCUUUUAGUUUAACCUGCAAACUAUAAUUUAGGAUAGAAACAUAUUUGUCCAUGCUCAUCAUAAAAUUCAAAAUAAUCUAUUGAGAAAAGUCUAGCAGAUCUUUGUUUGUUUCUGGUUCCUUUUUCAUCUUUUUUUGUAUUUCUUCCACAAAACUUUUGUGCUUAGAUCACUGUAUAUUUUGUUCUUAGUCAUUCAAAAAGAAUAUAUAAAUAUCGCAGUAGAAAUGCAAAUGAAAAAGGCAAAGUGAUGCAGCACCAAUAAGAAGAUUAAUAGAAAAAGACGACAGAUUCAGAAAGAAUAGGGAAUUAAGGGGGGAAAGAAGAAUUUAACAGAAGAAGGAGAGGGAUGCGCCAUAAGCCACCAAAAUAAUUAUUUAUUCAUCAACUGAAAAUUACAAUGCAAAAUAGGUUUAAAUAGUAACGAAACCCUAACGAGAUUGGGCCCGAGCCCAUACAAGUACAAUUUUCUAAAUAAUAAUAGUCCAAGAAAAUAAAUAAAGCUUAACAAUAAAAUAAAAGAAGUAAAUGUCCGAUGUCCUCAUCAACUCUCCCGGGGUGGGAGAAAACUUGACCCUGUCGAGUGGAUAUAUCGCUAUAGACUGUCGUCAAUCUCCCAACCAUAAGUUGAGUGGUUGGGGAAGUUUCUUUCGGCAUCUGUAGAAAUGUGUCAGUGGAGGUCUGAAUCUGGUGUCCUCACCAACCCCCCUCGGGUGAACGGGAAGCGAUCUAGGCCAAGGAAGAUCCUGUUGAUUCCGAUAAAACUCCAAUGAAUUUGGAUCCAAUUGCUGUAGUGUCUCUCUGGAGAUCCAUGUACAAUCAGAAUCUGGUCGACCAACCCAACGAACGAGGAAGCAUUGAACCUCUCCAUCAUUAGUAAACACAGUUUCUUCAUUUAAAAUAGCAUCAAUUUUAUCCGUGUGUGCUGUGAGAGGUGGUAGUGGAUUAGAAGUGGCCAAAUAGUCGGGAUCAAGGUCCAUAAAAGGAGGUAACAAAGGAUCAUCUGAGGGAAUGAAAUGACCUUUAUAAGUUACUAGGUCCUUAACAUUGAAAGUAGAGUGGUAACCAAGAUAUGGUGGAAUGUCAACAACAUAUGCAUUUGGACCAACUUGCUUUAAAAUUUUAAAAGGACCAACACUACAAGCUUGCAAUUUGGAGGCGGGUCCAUGUAGACGCCGCUCUGGCCUAAUGCGGACCAUAACGUAAUCCUCAACGUUAAACUCAAUAUGUCGUUUAUGCACAUCAGCUUGGAGUUUAUAUUUUGCAUUACUAGCUUCAAGUUGUUUAUUGAUUUCAAUAUGCAAAUCACGAAGAUGUUGUGCAAAGGCUUCGGCUAACACUAAUACUCUAGCCUGUGGGGACAUAGGGAUGAGAUCUAAUGGUUUUCUAGGCUUGUACCCAUGAACGGCUUCAAAUGGACUCAUACCUAAUGAACGAUUUAUGGAGCUAUUAUACGCAAUUUGAGCUACAGAAAGGAUCAAAUCCCAAUUUCGAAGAUUUUUCUGGACCAGACAACGUAAUAGGUUACCAAGAUUUCGAUUAACUACUUCAGUUUGACCGUCAGUCUGAGGGUGGUAGGCUGUAGAAAAUUUCAAUUUGGUACCCAUCUUUUGCCACAAAGUCCUCCAAAAAUGGCUAGUGAAACGAACAUCCCUAUCGGACACAAUGGUCUUAGGAAGCCCAUACAAUUUAACAAUCUCAUUAAAGAAUAACAUGGCCACCUUAGAUGCAUCUGAGGUCUUGCUACAGGGGACAAAAUGAGCCAUUUUUGAAAAAGAUCGACAACCACAAAAAUAGAAUCAUGUUUCUUUGGGGUGCGUGGAAGGCCUAAUACAAAAACCAUGCUAACAUCUUGCCAAGGACAAUUGGGGAUGGGAAGAAGGGUGUAUAGGCCCGUGUUUUGCUUCUUCUGUUUACUCAAUUGACAAAUGUUACAUGUACUAACAAUCUUAGCUACGCCACGUCUUUCUUCAAGCUAGGCCAAUAGAAUUGACGUUCAACUUCCUCUAUGGUCUUAUCACGUCCAAAGUGAUCGGCUAACCCUCCCGCGUGAAUUUUCCACACAAUGAAAUCUCGCACUGAAGUUCGAGGGAUGCACAAUUUAUUGGCUCGAAAGAGAUAACCCUCCUUAAGUCGGAAGCCAUUGGUGGUGUUGGAUUGUCCCUUUUGCAAAUCGAGAAAGAUAUCCUUAAAAUCGGGACAUGCCUCGUAGUCCUCCUUAAGCCUUUCAAAAUCGAUAACCUUGACACUCAUGAUCGACAAAAGGGAGACACGACAACUUAAUGCGUCAACUACUUGGUUCUCCACGCCCUUCUUAUGUUUUAAAACAAAUGAAUAGGCCUGUAAAUAUUCAAUCCAACGACCAUGCCUAGAGCUUAAUAUUUUCUGGCAAUUGAGAUAAAGGAGGCCCUCGUGGUUCGAAUAAAGGACAAAUUUCUGGGGCAACAAAUAGUGGCGCCAAUAGGGCAAAGCCUGGACCACAACAUACAGUUCCUUAUCGUAAGUCGAGUACCGUUGUUUGGCUUCAUUUAGUUUCUCACUGAAGUAGGCAACAGGGUGACGAUCCUGACUCAAAACUCUGCCUAUACUUACCCCGGAGACAUCAAAUUCAACUUCAAAGACUUUGAAAAAGUCGGGAAGACGCAUGACAGGAGCCUCCGUCAUUCGCUUCUUGACCAACUUAAAGGCUUUAGUUGCUUUUUGUGUCUAAUGAAAUUCCUCUUUUUUCAGGCACUCCGUAAUAGGCGCCAUAAUAGUGCUAAACCUCUUGAUAAAGCGGCGGUAAAAUGUAGCUAAGCCGUGAAAGCUCCUGGCGUCAUGAAUAACUUUAGGCUCAGGCCAGUCAACAAUUGUCUGAACCUUCGCAGGGUCAGCAGAAACCCCUGUCGAAGAGACGAUGAACCCCAGAAAAACGACUGCAUCGGUGAAGAAAGAGCACUUCUUGACGUUAGCAUACGGAUUGGUUGCACGAAAGGUAAAGCAAACUUGUGUGAGGUGGUCACGAUGUUACUCCUUAGUUUUACUAUAGAUGAGAAUAUCAUCAAAGUAGACAACAAGAAACUUAUCCAUGAAAGGUCGAAGAGUUUGUGUCAUUACUCGCAUGAAGGUACUUGGCGCAUUGCUUAGCCCAAAAGGCUUGACCAGUCAUUCAUAAAGACCAUCUUUCGUUUUAAACGCGGUCUUCCAUUCAUCACGUGGGCGAAUUCGAAUCUGAUGGUAUCCACUUUUCAGAUCAAUCUUCGAAAAGAUUGUGGCACCAACCAUCAUAUCUAGCAUAUCGUCAAGUCGAGGAAUGGGAAAACGAUACUUCACUGUGAUCCUAUUGAUCGCACGACUAUCCACACACAUCCUCCAAGAACCAUCCUUUUGGGCAUCAAUAGGGCGGAGACAGCACACGGGCUUAAGCUCUCACGGAUGAACCCUUUGUGAAGGAGAUCAUCCACUUGCCUUUGAAGUUCAGCGUGCUCGGUAGGAUUCAUCCUAUAAUGAGGCAAACUUGGAAGGGAUGCUCUUGGGACGAAAUCUAUGGCAUGUUGAAUAUCUCGUAGAGAAGGUAGAUGAUCAGGUAGGUUCUCCGGAAAGAUAUCUCGAAACUCUUGGAGGAUCGAUUGGACUUCAGCAGGGUUCUCUAUCGUGGAGUGAGAUGAAACCUCCAUGACUACCAAAGCGAACACAAUUGGGUCACCAACAAGUGUACGCUCAAACUCCGUAGGACUAAUGAUAUGCAAUUCCUUUCUUUUCCACACUCUUCUUCGUUUCCAGUUGGCCCGCAGGCUUUGGGGGACAGUGGGUUAAGGUGAAUCUUUUUUCCAUUAAACACGAAGGAGUAGGAAUUAGAUCGACCAUAGAUGGUUACAUCUAGGUCAAAUAACCAAGGUCGUCCCAUGAUGAUGUGCCCGACAUCCAUUGAAAUGACGUCACACUAGGAUCUAGACAACCAUCAAAUGUAGGGGCAUCUAACUUAAUAUUUCGAAAGAGGCGCUCCUCGUGGCGAGAGGGAGAUAGUGUACCAUGACGGUGAUAUUCCCGCUCUCGUCCACGAGCUUGAUUUUCCUCCCUACAAUCAUGUUUGGCGUGGUGUCGACCACCUUGUGGACGACAAUGAGGUCUAUUAAUGGAAGCUUAAGAGUUUUCAGCUUCAGUUGAGUUUGGGGUUGGGUCAAGAGUGUUCAACCUAGUGGUUAGGGCUCUAUUCUUCUCACGAGUAGCGGCUACCUCAGUUUGGACAGCCGUUAAUUGAUUUUGUAAUUGUGUCAACUAUUGGGUGAGAGCUUCAAUUUGGGAAGGGUACUAGCACUAGACGCAGUAACACGACCACUACGCAAUUGCAUACACGGUAACACUAGCUAAGUGAGGUGCGCUAUAGAGAUCAAUAAACAACGAGUGCCAACAGUAGAUUAGCAAUCUGAAAUUUGAUUAUUAUUAUUAUUUAUUUUUUAUUUUUUUGUAUUUGUUAAAAAUGAGAUAACGUAAGGUUCGAUCUUAGCAAGCUAAUAAUACUAAUGUGAAUAAAAUAAAAAGCAAAGGUACAAAUGAUAGGCCUAGUCACGUGGGGGGAAAUGGGUGAACAAUGGAAGUCAGUUCACGAUUUCCGAUCAAGUAGGAUUAAGGCUAAAAUUAUCAGAAUAGUAGCAACACAAAGAAAUAAUUGAUGCAAUUCUAGAAAAAGCAGUAGUGUAAACUAAAAAUAGAGAAGGGCAGUGACUCCCUGAGUUCGGUUGUGACUCCUUGUACUCCGAUUGAUCAGAAUUUGCCAACUUGUGUGACCCCGUUCUAUCUUCUCGUUUCAGUAGUCCUUCCUUUAGAACCCACUCCCUCGAAAUCCGGUUGAACUGCCGCUCCUUGAAAUUGAAUAUCUUCAGUUGAGAUAGGUGAAUGUGGCCCCGUGAUUUAGAACGUGGCUAAUGGCGGUGAAAGUAGCUGCAGGGGUGUUGAUUUGAGAUGCCGGCAUUGGAGAUGUUGGCCGCGAUUGAUGGCGAUGUCCAGGAUGGCAGUGGGUGUUGAGUGGCAAUUGUGGGUUCAAGUGGCGUUCGCGGCGCUGGUUGUGAGACCGCAGGGGAGCAUCGACUUUUGGUGCGCGAGUGUAGAGAAGAAAUCGAGAUGGUCAUGCGUAAUAGACGAGGGUGAAGGUCUAUUGGUGGCUUAUGACGGCGGGCGACAGCGUCUGGGGAGGAGGGUGGGUUUGUUGUUGGCGGUGGAUUGUGUGAGUGAUGAUGUGGGAAUGCGUCGGUGAUGCCGGCAGUGUUGAAGAGUGUUGUCGCUGGCGCAGCUGGGUCAGAAAAGAAGGGAGAUGAUGCUAACGCUGAGAUGAAGGGGAAGGCAGAGGCGUGUUGACGACUGAAGUAUUGGGUCGGGUUGUAAGAGUUUAAGUGGUUGAGUAAUGGGCUAAUGUGGGUGUUGGGCUGGAUAAUUGGGUUGUAUAAUAUUAGGUUGUGGGCUGGGAUUGGACUGAAUAGCUUGGGCUAGGUUUGAGUGUUAGGGUUGAAUUUUGUGGAACAAUACUACAAAUUUAUAGCAGCAGCAGAAAAUGUUUUUUUUUUCUUCUUCUAUGAAGCUGAAACUGCAGGAAAAAGAAUCUAAUGAAAUUUUCGAGUGUGAACAGUAACGUGAAUCUUUUUUUUUUUUCAACAACGAAUGACAACUAGAAAAAUGGAAUCUGCUGCUUGUGCACUGAAAAUCUUUUCACUUGUGUUGUUCCAACAAAUUUUGGGAAGAAGGUGAAAAAGAAUUUUGUAUUGUAGAUUAGGUUUACCCAAGUUUCGGCUCUGAUACCAAAUUUGAUACAGUACUAAUAAGAAGAUUAAUAGAAAAAGACGACAGAUUUAGAAAGAAUAGGGAAUUAGGGGGGAAGAAGAAUAAUUUAACAGAAGAAGGAGAGGAAUGCGCCAUAAGCCACCAAAAUAAUUAUUCAUUCAUCAAUUGAAAAUUACAAUGCAAAAUAGAUUUAAAUAGUAAUGAAAUCCUAACGAGAUUGGGCUCGAGCCCAUACAAGUCCAAUUUUUUAAAUAAUAAUAGUCCAAGAAAAUAAAUAAAACUUAACAAUAAAAUAAAAUAAGUAAAUGUCCGAUGUCCUCAUCACAAAGAUUGCCACCCCAGUUACUUACUCAACUGCAAAUUCUUCGGAUGAAUGUAGCUUGCACCAAGGAGUUCGAUUUCUUCCUUGUUUUUGUAGUUAGGGUUUUGAGUGUCUAGAUUGAGGGAUUUGGGGAUGGAGCUUGAACAGUUGAUUUGGGAUUUCUUGUGUUGUGGAAUGAGAGAUUUGGGGAUGGAGCUUCAACAAUUGAUUUGGGAUUUCUUGGUUUCACGUUUUGGUUUGUGUUCUAUGAGAAGAAAGGCAUUUAAGAGUUAAAAAUUUGGCAAAGGUGUGUUUGGCUAUGUGACGUGGCACUGAUAUGGCGAAACAUUUAACAUUUGGAAAGAGAUAAGAUAAUAGGCAACUCAGAUUUCCAUCCUCCAUGUCAGCAUUAAUUGAGAUGGAAUUGACCCGGUGUGUAAUGGAGAAUAACGGAUCAAAGUUUAGUGGGUAAGCCAUAACAUGGUGUAAAGUUCAAUGGGCAAUGAAACAUUUAACUCGGAAACAAACUGAUGUGUGAAUUAAUGAUUGGGUGUUAUGUUUUUUUUUUUUUUUUUUUUUCCUCAAUCUCAAGUCAACACGUGUCUCUCUAGGUUUUGAAUCUGUCUCCAAACCUGUUUAUAUAGCAUGUUUGAUAAGGAAUUAUUGCCACUGUAUUUUAGCACUGAAACAAAAGGGGAGCAACGGACAACUAGACUUAUCCUCAUGGGCCUGGUGAUUCUGCUUAUCGAAUGGGACCCUCAGAGCAAUUCGUUUUCCAAUUUAAAUUAACCUUGUAAUUAUUUCAAAUUAGCAGACUGGCGGAACGUAUGGCUCCUAUGUUUUCAAAUUCUGCAUGGUAUUGUGCCUGGUAUUUAAUACAGUCAACUUUGGUGCUUUCCUCUCAAAAAACUCCCAUUCGGUGACUUUAAAAAAUAUAUGCUCUGCAGACUUGACUUAACUGAAUCUUUUAAGUUGCCUUUCCAAUUUUGAGAUAUUCAAUCUUAUACUUUCAUUUCAACUUAUCCGACACCCAGCUAUCUCUGCUAGAAUGAUCUUGUUCGUGGAUGGGGGAUGGACAUGACACUCGGCUAUUGUGCAUAGGUAAAUUACUACCUCACGAGUCAUGAUGGUAUUUUAUAAACUUAUUUAUUGUAACUAAUUAUUUUGUAUGAGCUAACAGUUCGCCGACUAAACCUUUGCACUGUGUAUUAAGCUUAAAUGAUAGCGCAAUGACAAUCAGACAAAGGCGUAAGCUGAGUAAAAGUCAUGUAAUCUUUGUUAUUGAUAAACUUUGGAUCUUAUGUAGGGCGAUCUCUCGAAGAGAGUCAGAGUAGUUGACAGUGAAAACAUUGCUCAUGAGGGAAUCC
rnacentral:lncRNA from 1 species